rnacentral:lncRNA from 1 species
UUUUGUAAUACAGAGGCCAUAUAUUUUACAUUAAUGUACACUAGUAAAUGAUUUGCGUGAUAUGAUUUGUGUGCAUGGACCGGCAGAUACAUGAAACAAAUGUGUCUCUACAUACAUUACGAAUGAAUAUAAUGCAGUUAGCAGCAGCUGGUUGUUAGGCGUUGAAUGAAAUAUAAAAGUCACCAAGCAGGGAAUUUAAAAAUCAGAAACUUGAAGAAAAUAAAACGAAAUAUAAGAUAUGAUUUUACUAUGUAGGACAAAGCAUGAAAAUAGGGGAGCUGGUGUAGCAUAUGUCAUUAGUGCAAGUGCUACACUUGUGCCGAAGACAAUUCUUGACUAUAAUAAUUUAUUGACAAGAUGUGUUAUUUUGCAUAACAAUUUAUAAUGAAAUGAUCCAAAAAGAGUAGUUAAAGAAUCCAAAACACAAGAUUCGGUUCCAGUACUUACUACAGAAGUCACGUUAUAGCCAUAGGAAUCAACUCUUUUGUUUGUCAACCAGUAAUCAAGAAAUGGGCCUAUUAACAGCAGUGAUGCAGCCUGGCCAGGGGCAGUAUGUCCCAACAGGUUGAAAGAACUAAGAGAAUAUUUCCGCUGAAGAUAAUGUACAUACUGCAAAUAAAAGAUUUAACAUGAUGUCAGGCAAAAAAUUUUAAUCUGCAUGACAAGAAUAAGAUACAAAUUUGAAACCUAGGUGGUAGUGGUCAUUUAUUUACUUCAACUGCACAAAACGUUACUAUUAUUUUCCGCUAAGUAAAAUUUCAAGAAAUUCCUCGAACUUAACUGCAGAAAAUUAAACAACUUACAUAUUGUUGCAAAGAAGUACUCCAUACUGCAACAAAUGCAGCUAUGAAACCUCUGGUAUUUACACUCACAUCAGUAACAGUGCAAACACUGACUCCCACAAGAACCACUGCUAUGCUUAACUUUGUGUCUCUGGAGUAACGAAUUUUAUCAAACAUCACUUCUAACAAGCAGGAUACGGGGAUCAUACUGAGUUUUGCAAUCUGGUAAUACAAGUGCCAAUAGGUAAUUCCCAGAGCCAUUUAAAUACAAAAGUAACAAAAACUAUGAGUGUACAACAAUUUACCUGAUAAAAUCCAACUGAGUUCCACAUAAGACUAACAUUCAUUCCAACAAUCGAGAAGUUCGCAAAUAGCACAAACUUAAGAAGCUCAAAGAGGGGAAGAUGUGAAGCCUGGAUGUAUCCCAGCCACCUUAGAACAGCAGUCAUCAACGUUGUGGUAGCAAAAUGCAACCCAGUUAAUGUUGUAGCUGCAACAAGUUGUAAUUAAAUCACAACAUGAUUUAAGAGAAAAGACAGCAGUUGUACUUAUGCAAAUGGAGUAGAAUAGAUUGUGAAAUGAUGGAUCAUAGUAGAAAAAAAAACUAGAAUUCCAUCUAAUCAUCAUUUUAGCUACUUUGAGUUUACCCAUGGGAGCAAAAAAAUAUUCUGUUCUGAGAAAAGAUUAUAGUAAAUAGUCACAAAUUCUAUGCUUUUCCACAGUUGGAUAAAAUUUAAACCUAUCAGACAACUUGAACUAAGCCCUCAAGGUCUAAACUGAUUAACCAUUUAAUCUCCCAAAACAACUAAACUGAUUAACCAUUUAAUCUCCCAAAACAAUCCAUCUACUUUUUGUUCCACUCCUUGAUAAAAAAAUCAAUUCAUAAAUUUCCUUGCUUUUUGCCCCUUAAAAAGUGUGAAUAAGUGCCCUCCUUAGACAUUACCAUAGUACUUCUUAUUGAAAUUAAAGGUUCAUAUUGAAUCAUAGCUAAUCACUUACAUGAAAAUCCAUGGCUGCAGUCCCACCAAUAUAAAAAAAAAGGAAAAGAAUAACAAACACAUUCCCUAACCUCAAUGGCUGAAAACAAAAACUACUAACGCAUACAGAUUCAAACACAUGAUCUUCAUGUUCGAAGCAUGAAAUGCAUUGCCAGUUGACCUACCACUCAGGUGGUCAAUUUUCUCACUUAUGCAUGCACCAUUUUUCAUGGGACUCUUAAGUAAUUUAUCCAGUUUUCUUUUCUUCCAGGGAAAAAAAAGUAAUCUGUCCACUUUUUUACCUCGCUCCAGUUUGGAAUCUCUAUCUAGGAGGAAUCUUAUAAGGAAAGUUGUAGAACAAGUUUAAUUUGCAGAAGACAUGUAAAAUAAAUUCAGCUUCUUUCACAGGUGUGUUUGCAUAAAUUGAGUUUAUAGACAUAAUUAGUUCACAAUGCACUGACCAACACUUCAUCAACAUUGUUGAAGCUAUAUUGCAUGUACUCUAUUUUCCCAACCUUUAAGUGAGAAAUUUGCAGUGGGGCAUCUGUCUAAUAAAAAAAUUUAUCUUUGGCCAUAAGCAACAAAUUCAAUGCAUCUAUUUAAGCAGAAGAAGAAAUAGAUUCCUCUAAAAAUUUUACGAAAUGAUUGGUAUAUGGCCAAGAACACGCAAUCAGGAAUUACUAUUUAUAGAGAAGUGAUGACAUACAGGUAUGCUUGAAACAAACUGAACAUUAAUUUACCAAAACUGAAGCCAUAUGUAGCCAUUAAGGCCUUAUUGACAAUGAUAAUCCCCACAGAAGUGACAACAUUGAACAUCCAAGCAGCUGCAUCUACUGCUGCUUUCUUAUCAGCCUUACUAACUGGAGCCAUUUUGAUAUAUUUUACUUGCAAUCAAUAAGCCUUCAACUGUUUAUCCUUCUAACUCCAUGAAGUCAUCCAUCUGCAACAGGACUGAAUCCAAAUGAAACAAACUUGAUGAAAUUGCAAUUUGUUGGCGCUUACAGCAAAAGAAAAUUAUUAAAUAGAAACUAGAACAUCUUGAACAUUCUACAUAUAUUAAAAACAAUCUACUGCCUGUCAAAUAUGCAAUAACUAAACGUGAAAAUUAUAACUUCCCGCUGAUAUGAUGUUUCUAUAAAACCUUCGAAAAACUCACAAUUAAUACGCACUACGGAUAUAGCAGGUAACUAAACUUAUAAGCUGUUACUCCGACAUGUCACCAUGUAUAAACAUAGAAUUUGAACUGCAUUAGCUCUCUUCUGACCAGAUAACUAAGAGAUUGUUUUCCAAAAAGAUCUCUAUGGCCGAAUGCCAUCAACUUACUUUCAGACUCUACUGCUUCUUGACAAGCAUGAUCUUCUGCUCACAAAUGGCUCAAAUUUAAAAAGGUUCAGUAAAAAGGAGGCAAAACGAAUGAAAUAACUCACUAGAUUCUGAUCCAUGAUGCCACCUAAACCUAAAUUCAAUCUCACGAUUAAAAGACAUGUAACGAGGACAAGGAAACAGGAUCAAUCACACACAAUAGAUCCGUGAAACGUCAGAUCGAUCUAGCUCUGGCGAUCACAAAAUCAAACAGUUGCCAAUCAGAUCUACAUGCCAAACACGGAAACCACACCUUUUUAUAACAGAGGCGGAAUCAAUUCAUGGACUAGAAACAGAUCUAUCGCGUGAUCUCGUUAAUCUUUACAUCCACGAGUUGAAACUGAAUAAAUUAGAAUGUGUACGGGUUGGAAAGGUACGUACCAUGGACAGGAGAGGAGAAAGCGAGAGACGGAGAAGGAGAAAUGGCGAGGAACUGAGCCGAAACGGUACGGUUACAGCGUCGUUUUUGUUGGAGAGUUUGGAGGUGGUGGUGGUCGUGGUGGUGGUUUUGCAGUGGAUGCGCUACUUAUUAGUUGUGUGUUCGCAUCCUCAAGAAUUGGAGAGAAAUUGGAAAUCAGUUGGGAAACGAAGGCCUCGUGGAUUAGUAAGCAUCACGCGGACGUUAACCUCAUGCGCCUCACUCUUUUUAAUAAACCAACAAAUUUAUUAGUUUAUAAAGAUAAAUUUCUACAGUUUUACUGAAAUGUAAUUAAUUUUUUUUGGAUUAAAAUUAUAAUUUAUAUUUAAUAAAGAAAUUAAAUGUAAUUAAAAAAUUUAAAUUUAUUUUAAUUAUAAGAAUAAUUUUUUUAAAAAAAAAUUUAAUAUUGUUUAAAUAAUUAUAGUAGUUAAUUAUUUAUUGUUGUACAAUUUUCUUACAAUUAUAAUAUUGAAAAUAAAUUUUAUAAUAAUGCAAUUAUAUUUUAUAUCAAAAUAUUUAUUUACAAUAAAUUUUAUUAAUACAAUAUAAUUAAUUUUUUGAAAAAUUAUUUUUAGAACACUUUAGGCAAGUUUUUGAAUAUAAACUUUAUGAAAGUUAUUUGUAUUAAAAAUUAUUAAGUUAGUCAUCAAAUUUUAAUAUUUAUUAUAAUUUAUUAGAUAUUUUCUUUAUUACAAUUUAAUCUUUUAAUAUUUUUUUAUUUUUUUAUUGAAAAAGUUAAAAGAGGUGGAUUAUAUUUGAAUAUCUUAAAAAACUGUUUAAAAAAAUUUGACUAAUUACUCAAUCAUUUAAUAUAAAUUUAUUAUUUUAAAUAUAACUUAAUUAUUUUAAUUUUUCUGUUAAAAAAUAUAAAAAAAAUAUUUUAAACAAACAAAAAAUAUUAAAAAUUAAAUUAUAAUAAAAAAAUUAAGAACUAAAUUACAAUAAAAAUAAAAAAAUGAAUUAUAAUAAAUACAAAAUUUAAGUAUUAAUUUAAUAAGUUUUCUCAAAAUAAAAGAUAAAAUAAGUGUGAAGCCGAAGCGACAGCGAACCGCUGCAAAACCGAACCGGGCCGCUUAUUCAAGCACAACUAUCUAAUGUAUAUCCUCCCGCGGAUGAGAGAAUGAGCUAUCGUCGUCCUUUCCAAACACUAUUAGUGGCUCCACCGCACCAUAUGUAAUCUACAAAAUAAGUUAUUUAAGUAAUAAGCCCACCGUUUUUCUUCUCUCUUGGACCAUUUUUUUCAAUUAUCAAUCACCCAACUAGCGUUCUCAAUCCUUGAUUGACGGAAUCCUAGUUGGGUUGGGGAAUCGGGAGGCGCCGGAGUAAAACGGCGGGCUGGAACAGGGAUGGGGAAGAAGAGAAAGUCGAUUGAUUCGAGCCUGGACGAGGUGGAUCGGACCAUGUACGCGUCGUUUUGUAGCGCAGCGAACUCCCUCUCUCAGCUCUACACCCAGGCCAUGAACCACCAGAAACCCUCAUUUCAAGCCGGCGAACGCCACGGCCUUGUACGGAUUCCUCUAUUAAGUCUUGAUUUCGAUUAGUCAUAUACUUUGUUUGUCUGUGUCCGUUGUAUCUGCUUGCAUGUGUUUGAUUUUGUUGGAGAAUUAUGAUUUUGAUCCAUGUAGAACGGUUCUUUUCCCCUGUCUUUCUGGCUUCGGAAAUGUGCGGGAAGGUGAUCACCUCUACAAUGCCUGAUUUAUUUGAUAGGAUAUCGCACUGAUAUUUUUUUAUGCGCUUCAUUCGCCCUAUGUCCCUUUUUUGUUAAUUAUGGUGGGUUUUUAUUCUGAACUAUGUAUAUGUGUUCAGUGCAAUUGAAUUAUCAGUUUCUUUUGGUGAUACGGAAGGACGGUGUUUUGCCUGACUGUUUUCUCAUUACCCGGGAUGAUUGUGAUUUUCUACUUUGAAUGAGAUGGCAGGAUUGGCACUGAUGAGGAUUUCAACUGUGUUGUUGUUAAGGCACAUUGAACUUAGGUGAUUUAUGCUGCUUCUUAGGUAGGGACAGUGGCAAUUGUUGAACCAGAUUUGCAGGAGAAUUUGAAAGGUCGAAAAGGAUAUUUGCUCAAGCUUCAUUGGCUUGCACUAGGCAAGGAGAUGAUGACAAAUCUGCUCUGAUGUUUUGAUAUUAAGUGAGUGAGAGAGUACAAAAGGUUUAGUUAAUACCAUAUCUUUGUGCAUGCGGAAUCAGUUAACUAAAACAUAGAUGAAAAAUCAAGUUCAUAAGGGCAGAUUCAAAGUGUUUCUAUACUUCUUGGUAGACAAAAUAAAAAAAAAAACAGAAGUUCUGGUAAAUCAAAUUAAUUGAGCAAACAGCAAAAGUGGAAUUUGUUUUAUCAUCUUAGAACCUUCAAAUUUUAUCAAAUUCUUUGUGCAUUGAGAACAUUUGGCAUUCAUGGUGGUUGGCUUAGGUUUGUGUUAAAUGGAGCAUGCAUGGACAUUGAUAAUUCAAUUAGAUAGGCGCAACAUCCUAAUUGUUCAGGCAUGAGUUAGUGUUGCAAUAAGUAAAUUAAAUUUCCUUUCAGAAAUAAGAGAUAGAUGUACUAGCUUGAAGUGAAUUUGUAAUAGGUAUCUCAUGGUUUGUACGAUUCAUAAAAAUGCUUAUAGCAGUAGAUUCAGGAAAUCUGGUUCAUUGAAUUUCCUCUAUCUCAGGCCUGCCUUCUAUGCAAUCUAAUAUUAAUGUAUUGAAACAGUUGAAAGUCCUCAAUCUUCUGGUCAUAGCAGAAUUCGUAUUAGCCACCAUCUCUGAACUCCAAGUGGGUAGUCAAAUCAAAAUCAAUUAUAACAAGCUUAGGUGGCUGCCUUCUAAGUUGGACCUUCUUCUUUCAUCUCCAACUAUUCCUGUACAGUGUUUGAAUGCUGUACUUGGUCCUUUUGGUUAGACAAUUCCUACUGCAUCAAGUUCCAUAUAACCACAUAUUUUAAGAUCUUUUCAACUUCCACAAAUUGAUUUCAAACUAAUUUCAGGCAUUUUGUUUUUCAUUAUUAUUCUUUGAAAAAGAGCUUCUUGUGGGUGAAUUUCUGGCAAAGCUUGUGAUUUUGCCUUGGUGUUUUGUUUCAGGAAAGAAGGGGUCUAUUUUCUAAAUAUGCAAAGAAAUUGAAAAUUACUACCAAAGCGCACGUUUUAGAAAAAAAUCUCAAUAUAUGCAUCUUUUUGCCACUUCAAGACAGGGUUUGGUCAAAGUUAUUGCUGAUUGACAGAAUAAACAACAGUCAAUUUGUCAGUGCUUGAUUCCGUAGUCUUUAAACCUACAUGCAAAAUACUACCUUCCUGUGUUGGCAUGCACUGGCACUGUGAUGGCUAAUUUAUUAUGAAUGCUGUGAAAAACUGAUGUUGUCAUUGACAAGCAGUCAACAACCACCCUAUUGAUCCCUUACUAACUUGACUGAGUUUUUGCUGAAGUAGCAAAAAAUGCAUAUCUUGCCUUUUUUUUAAAGAUGCAUGUUUGAGAAAUUUCGUUUUUCCUCAGUUUAGAAAAUAAUCAGAUGCAGAGUUGAGCCUUAAAAUACUAUUAUCUUCUUGUCCUAGGACUUCUUAGGAUUUAAAAUUAUUUAAAUAUUUUAGUAAGUGGUUGGAAACUAAAUUUAUGCAUGUUAUUAUUUUUAGAGGACUUGGUUGUGUAUAGAACUCAAACAAGAUUUAUAUUAUCACCUUUGUGUUCAAUUAAGAAGAAGAUGAUGUAACUUGUUCUGGCUUAGGGACUACAGAUAUAUGAAGUGUUACCGUGUUAUAUGUUGGUGAAAUUCUAAGAGAAGCUAUAUUUCUUGGAGCAUGCUUAGAAAUCUUCAUGAUCAACUUGCAACUUUUUGUCUGAAUAUAGAGAUGGUUUAUGCAAAAAAAAUUAUAGGGGUGGAAUUGUGUUUAGUCACUUCUACAACUGGAAACUUGUGGAUAACCUUUCUCUUCCUGACCAUUUCCUUCAUCCUGGAAUCAAGAAUUGUUCUACCCUUUAAUCUUGUUGGGUUUGAUUGAUUAACUUAUUCACAAUACUAAUUUGCAUUACUCAAUGGUAAAAUUGAAGAAAACAUAUAUAUGAUAUAGCCGGAAGAUUUCACAUCCAAAGCCUUUAAAAAGGAUCUAUAAGCUGCAAAGGUCCAUUUAUGAAUUGAAGGAGGCCUCUCUCAGUAUAUCCAUUUGAUGAGAGCCAAAUGAGUUAUGAUUUCAUGAAAAAAGAGAAUGAGACCUGGGUUUACAAGAAGGUGAAUGGGGGAAUGGGGGAAUGGUGGUAUUCCUUUUACUAUACAUGGAUAACAUCAAACUCAUUAGGAAUGAUGUAAGGAUGUUGUAGUCAGUUGAAGUUUGACCACACAAAAACUUCUCCAUGGUAAUCAAGCUAUGUAUUUGGGUUGUGGAUCUAUAAACAUAGAUCAAAAUAGGUUUUUUGGCUUAGGUCAAUUAAGUACACAGAACCCGAGCUAUAGAGAUUUAAUUUAGAGAACUCCAAAAGAGGAAAUUAACGAUUUGCAUUAGGGUUAAUCUCUCCAAUUAAGAUGUCUUGCAUACUUCAGAGGAGAGAGCAUAUGAGUAAGAUUCCCUUUUUCUCGAUAAUAGGGCCCAAUCAUUGACUCCAUGCUAUAUACCAGGCCUAAUGCUAACCUAUGCCCCUAGGUGUCACACGCAAUUUUAAGGCAAAUUCAAUUAAGAGUUCACAAGAGGGCUAUGAUAAACAUCUAAAGUAGUUUUGAAGCAUGAAGGAUCUUUUUCUAAUUCAUGGAAAAAUGAUUGACUUAAAAGCUUGAGGAUUUCAUGUAUCCUAGCUUUAAAUCAAAUCCAGAUGAUAGUAAAAUUGUUUUGGGGUUUGCCCUAAAACAAUCCAAUAACGAUUGGAAGAGUUUCAAAGAAGAGAUAACUAUUGUUACGGCCAUAAAAGUUGAAUACAUCAAUGCAAGAAAGGAUAUAAAGGAUUUUGUAUGUGUCUAGAUGUUCAGUACUUUGGGAAAGGUUCCUAGCAUAGCACAUCCUAUGGAUUUUGCUUUUUGUUAUAGCAACAGCACAAAAAAGAACUAAGGUCUCAUCAAGAUCGAAGCACAUCUUAUGACUCUUAUGUUUGAUAUGUGAAAUUAAUGAAAGAAAACAUAUUUAACAUUGGUGCAAUGACAACAUAAUGACCUAGUCACUAUAGGCUUUAAGAAAAGGUGUUCAAUCAUAACAAGAGCAGCAUGGGUAUGCUUUGCAAUGGGUGAUUGGUUGUAUUGCGAGUAGAAGAUUGUUAGAAAUAUACCCUUAAGUAAAUCAUAAAAGGAUGUGAUAGGUUUAUAGUUAGAUAAUAAUCUUAUUCUUUGAUAAAAAAUAGCAAUAAAAAGACAUUUCGUUUUAUUGUGAGCUGCUUCUUUUGUAUGAAUGCACUUAAUUGUUGCAUUCUAACAUGAUAAAAGUCUCUAAUGCACAGAAAGAAACUAGAGUUGUGAUAGAGAUCACAAUAAUGUACGUCUUAUUUCUUAGUGUUCAAAAUGUUUCAAAUAGUAGAAUACAAAAUGGGAUAGUUGCAAUCCAGUUCAUUUAGAUAUGAACUAUGCAUAUUGGUAUGUUGCUUUGUUUGUGCAUAGCAUCUAUUGAAAUUAAUUGUUAAUGCUUUUUGAUUGAACCUUCUAGUUCUAAGCUUUUGUCUCUCCAGACAUGUGCUACCCAGCUAGGUUAAGGUGAUAGACAAGUCUAUGAGGUCGUGCCAUUUGUGCAUUCUUAUUUGACUGGCUCUGAUCUGUUCGAUCUCUUGCUUUCAGGAAAAACUUUAUCAAUGGAUUUGGAGGCAACAAGAAGGAGGAUCAAGAGUAACAACAACGGACAUAGUUAAUUACAUUCAGGUUUAUUUUUUAUUAUUCUCCUUUUGUAUGAAUUUUAAUUUUCUUUGUAUAUAUGAUUUUUGUAGUUUUGCCUUUGAUAAUUUCGUGCACCAGCUCUUCCCUGUAAGAUUCCAGCCUAAAGAAGAAACUUUGGUCUCUGGAUCAUUAGGGAAAUAGUAUAAGAAAGUUGGAAUACUAGAUUUUUUAAGGCCUCCAGUGUUUGCAUAAAACACAAAUUAGUCUUCAUCAUCGCUCUCUUUAUUGUCUGACUAGACUUCAUUUUUAUCUUGUUGGGUCCUGUUUAUGAUUGAUACCUGAAUCAUUUGUUCAAAAUCUCUGAUUAACAAUAGGAAAAAGCUGGUGAAAGAUGCUGUCAUAGACAUGCAUAAAAUGCAAGGAGGUAGUCAUCUUAAUUGACAGUGGGGUCCUAAUUGGCACGCACUUGUAAAAUGUGUUGCUUGGGUAUAAUCAAUACACCUAAAAGUACUCAAAUAAUACAUUUUGAACAGGCUAAUGAUCUUUAUAUUUAUAAGUGAUAUCGUGUUCAGCUGCAAAUCUCUAUUUUUCUUUGUCAAAUAAUAAGCCAUUUUAUUAUAAGAAAUGUCUCAGAUUUUUUUUUAUUUUGUUGCAGAAUGAGGUAGAUUAUUGUGGAGAGGAGCCAUCGAUGUCCUCUAGGGCACCAGUUCAAUAUCAGCAUUCCCAACCUGCAUUGCAGACCUUUAUGGUCCCUUCUGGCUCUUCCUGCCAAGCUGGUGGGCAGGGGACUCGCCCUGAGCAGUGUGAUCAACAGUCCAAGAAUCCAGUCUUCUCCAAUGCUUUGUCAAGCCCUGUUCGUCGAGGUCUCCAGUUCUAUCACAUGCAGGGAGGUUAUUUCCAGAAUGGUGGUUUGCCUUCUGGAACUGGGAGCCGGAGUAAUGAGCCCAACUUUCUUCAGCUGCAAAACAGGGAUUCUAAUCCUCCAGGCUCCAAUGAUUCUACAAUGGACAUGCAUGCAGACUGAAACUUACCAGGUAGGACUUCACAAGCUUCUUUCCUUAAUCGCUAGUUUGUUUGUUGCUCUUGUCAGAAGGAAAACGGAGAUGCUUUACAAUGCAAAAGAAACUCAAACAUGUGGGUGACCCUCUUAAAGCUUGGCGGCGAGGAGUACAAUGUGGUGUUGCGUUCUCAUGGAGCAAACAAAAAUCCAAUGCGACAAGCACCUUUUUGUUAUGAUUUAUCGUCACAUGUAAAUCCUUGGAGUGAAUCAAUUGUCAGAACUUAUACGUGGGCAUUUCGUUUGUGAUCCUUGGUAAUCUCUAUACUAUCGUGUUUCUUAGGUCUCGUUUUUUCUGUUUGGAAGGACAGUGUAUGUAAAUUAUUCAGGUCCUAUGUAUCUGCGUAUGUAUAACGGAUUCUGGUUUUGAAGCAAAACAAGUCCUGCAAGUGGAAAAAAAAAAAAAAAAAAAAAGAAAGGGUAGAUCGAUCGUGCUUCACAGACACCAUUGUCUGUAAUUAAAUGAGUCUACACAACUUGCCUUCCAGCAAUAUAGAAUCCUAUGCGACUCCUUCUUAACCCAUAUAAUGCCUGGAAAAAUGACUGAUUUCCCUCGCUAUAUUUGACGAAGCCUUCGCUCGCUGGCUCGACCCCACAAAUCCUCCGGUCAAUCUUAAUUUAAAAAAUAAAUCAUAAUAGGGAAUAUUUUCUCAGUCCUAAGGAAUUUAUUUUUUAAAAAAAUUAAUUAUAAAUUACGGUUUUCUAAUACUGUUUCGAGCUAUGCUCACAAAUGAAAUUAGCAUUCUCGGUUGGUAAUUAGCAGCAUUCUAUAAUUUUAUGCUGUGAUUAGCUGGUGGUAAACAAUUUUUCAGUUCUACCUCUUCAAUUAUUGUGUGGUCUUAUGAAUGUCAAACUUUUUUACUACUGUUUCUUCACAUUAAAAUUUAAUUAAAAAUAAAUUACGACUACUUUUGUUUGGUUGGUGUUUUUUCUCCACUCCACUAAUCAUGAUUAGCAGAAACUAACUUUUGGCUUGAAAAUCAGUGAUUAUAUUGUCUCAGGCUUUUAACACUUCAAUUAAUUACUUUUGCUUCCAAUCAAUUCCAAUUUCCGAGCGAAGCAGAUUGUAAUUAUUGUGUCCACAUACCCCUCCAAAAAAAAAAAAAAAGUCAAAAAAAUGAAAUAUUAUGACGUCCUAAUUUAUUUAAUACACCGUCUUAAAAUAAGUAUAAAAUAGUUUUACUAAUUUUAAUUAUUUUAUAUUUAAUAUGUAUAUAUAUAUAUAUAAUCAUCAUCUUUUAUUUUUCUUUUUCUUUUUUCAAAAAGAAUUUUAAUUCCAUUAAAAAAACUCAUUACAUAAUUCUAAACUACGCUGUUCAAAUUAAAAACCUUUUAAUUAAUUAAAAGUAAUCCAUAAUUUGACUGACUAAUUAAGAUGGAUUAUUAAAGCAAAAGCCUACACCCAAAUAAAAACCAAGCUCUCAAUUACGUGCCACCCUUAUGUAAUUACACAUAUAUUUUAUAUAACAUAAUGUUUUUUUAUUAUUAUUUAAUAAAGAUACGUGUGUAUCAAUUUGGAAUAUGUAAAUCAGUGAUAUUUUAUUUGCGAAUUAUAUGUAUAUAAUACGAUAGCGUGAAAUUAUAAUAAAUAUAUAAAAAAAAAAAAGGCACGAAAAUAAAUAUGGGGCCCAUGGCUAUCAUGCGCCGUGGAGUCACUAUCUCUAUCCUUACUUUAAAUAAUUCCGUCCAGAAGUAAACCCAAUCUUUUUUGCCCUUUUUAUUUCAUUUAAUAUUUUUUCGUUUCUUACUCUCUCUCUCUCUCUCUCUCACUCUCAAUUCCUCGCCGAUUAUUUCGCGCAAAAGUUGCGAUCUAGGAUGCCGGCGCCGCCGUUCUAGUCGCCGUAUUUUCCUAGCUCAGAUCCGUCAGGUGAAUUUAGACUUUUUUCUUUUCCAGUUUGAUCUGACUUCUCUGUUUGAUCCCGAGAAAAGUUUGAGGAAAAUAUGACGGAAGAGUGAGAACUCUCUGAAUUAAACAUUCUCUUUGUUGCUGUAGUUUAUCGGUGCUUUUCUGCGUGUUUUUGUUUUUGUUUUUUUUAGCUUUUAAAUUCCAUGUUGCGUUUUUGUGUGCUUUGCUUAGCAAUCAAACAGAGGACAUGUUUGCAGCCUUUUGAUUUCUUACUUUUCCUGAUUUGUUGUUAGCAGAUCUUUAAUGUUGUUCCUGUCUAUUAUUGUUACUGAUUUACUAGUAAAUUAGUUGCUGAUAGUUUGUUUUAGGGGGACUACGACUUUCUACUUAAAGAAAUCAUGACAAUGCCCUGUAAGAAAAUUUUCCGCUAGAUUGGCCUAAGAAAUUCGUACUUUGUAUAUAAACUUUGAAAAACAGUCUUUUUCCUUUUUUUUUUUUUUUGAGAAAAUGAUCUUUUGUUUCCUAAUUCUUCUAAUGAAAUCUUUAAGCGUAGUCUCCCUCGCUUUCUACUUGUUUCUCCUUCUCAUUCUCUCUUUAUACUCGUGUUCUUUUGUUUUUCACGUUUAGGAUUAUUUUUGUUUUUUGUUUUUUCCUUUUUAUUUUCUUCCUUCAUUGAGUUGCAUUUCUUCUGCGCAUGUUUGUGUGUGUGUGUGUGUGUGCCAGAAAGAGAACAUGUUUAAUGACUUACCUACACGUAAGGACUAAAAAUUCGGUACAAGGGUUUUGUAUUUUGUUUAGCAAGACAGGAUGUUUACGCAAACGCUUGAAGGUAAAUCCUUAUGUGUGUCUCUUUCCAUGUCUCAUGCUCUUAUUCUAGGAUUGCUCAUAUCUCCACUAUAAUCCAUGGAGAUUUUGAUGCUAAUAACUAAUCUCUUACAUCCUCAACCAUUGGAAUAUUCCAUUUUGAUUCAUUUGCAUUAGUGCCACCUCUCUUCCACGUGCCUUUGGAAAUGCGAUGAUUUGACCGAAUUAAGGUACAGGUGGAUGAAGGCUUGUGGCUUAAAUUAUCGUUGAGGGCGGGAAGGUGCAUAGAAAUAAUUGUUGGAUGGCCAGAUGAACAGGACUGAUGUUAUUUGCAGUGGAAGGAGGAGGGUUCUUUUCUUCAUCAGCAUCUGGAUAUAGCAAGGGCCUGACCCUUCUUCUUUUGGGUCAGAAGGACGAGGACAAACCCAUGAGAGUUACUCCGUGGAAUCAGUACCAGUUGGUGGACCAAGAAACUGAAGCUGACCUCCAGCUGGCUUCCAUUAAGAACCGGAUUUCCCGCGGGUGUGCCUCCUUUGUCUGCUUUGGUCGCACUUCCGCAGGACUUGAUGCUCCAUCUCCUCUUAAAGUAGGCCCUGCUCAACAGCAGGAUUCCUUGCCAGGGUCACUUGUGUCUGAUAAGGGCAAGAAAAAUGCAAUUGAUCUCGAUGAUAAUAGUGAAGAUGCAAAGAAGGUUGCUCUGAAAAGUAGCUUGAGAAAGUCAUUAAAUAGCAAUUCAGCUCCUGUUGAAGGUGCUAAGGAACUCGAGGCAUUAAAUGAGAAGGGUAGUACCAUACCUGGUCAUAUGGAAAGAAGGAAAGUGCAGUGGACGGAUGCUUGUGGGAGUGAGCUCGUUGAAAUCAGAGAAUUUGAGCCCAGGUAUGAUACUACUUAACAGACUUCAGAUAAUUAGUACAUGAUGACCAUCCUUAAGUUUUAUUUAUAUUUCUAAUGUGCAACUAUGUAUAGGGUUCUGAAUUCUCUCUGUAUGCAUGUUAACAAGCUUGACUAUUAUGUUAAAUAUGGGCAUGUUCUACAUUGUAGACACCUAGGGAAAUCUAUCAUUGGAUAACCUUAGAAGAAGCGGAAUCAUAGUCAAUGGCUGCUAGUGUCUAUGCGAGAAUGAAUCCCCCCCAGUCACGUUCGCAUUUGUUGCUCAUUGUGGGUUCAGCCCACAGUCUCUGGAACAUUUCUUGGGUGGCUUAGUGGCCGAUGAAAUUUGGACUUGGAUGGCAUUCAUGCUAGCAAGAAAAGAAAGAAGUUAGUUUCCCUUAUUCGUUUGUCACUAUCUGGGUCUUUUAUUGAAGGAAAGGACCAAUAAAGUUUCUGGGGACACUAUCUCUUCUUUUGAUAGCGUUAGAUGGAGAUCAUUGGUUCUAGACCUUGAAUUUUUUUUUUAGAGGUCACUAUCUUCUAUGUGGGGAGGAUCUAAAGAACCUUAAUAAUAUUUUCUUUUCUGAUGGAAAGAUAUAAUUCUCUUGAAAGCAGCAGAACUCCUUCUGUUCCCUGUUUAUAGAUAAUAUCAUCCUUUUCCUUCCAAAAAACAAAAGAAAGAGAAAAUAUUGUUGGAACUAUUCGUAGUUUCAUGCUUCCCAGAAGCUAGUCUUAUUGAGAUCGUUUGAUAAACAAAUGGUGUUCUAUCACUUGACCUGGAGCCCACAUCACUCUUUUUAACAAAUAUUCUGAUUAUAGAAUAUCUUCUAUUUAAAUCAUUUGGUAAGAGGUUUAAACUUUCCAGUUCUGGUGAUUCAAAACUAGUUGGAAGGUCAGUCUGAUUCAUAUCUUCUCAUGGUGGGUGAUGUAGAGUAAUAUCUGCAUUUACUACUCAUUGUAUCAGGUUUCUAGUCUUUGAAAAAAGGACAACGUAAUGAUGAGCUACCAGUGAAGGAACCAGAAGUUUGGCACAUUCUCUUACUAAGUCCAUGUUGCGAUUAGGUCAAACUAAAUCUUAGAAUGACUGUUAGUGAAAAGAUUUGUUAUAUUGGAGCCAUUAUCUUGUGGACUAGUCUAAAGUUUUGGCUGCAUAAAAUUUGAUGAGAUGAAGGCUAAAGUUAGAGUUGGAAGCUUAAAGAUCUAGAUUUUGUGCUAGCUUCUUUUCUGGAUUUGUUGACUAUUCAUUGUAAUCACUAUUAGCCUUGUCUGUAGACAUUCUAUUUAGUUUUGCUUCGCAAUGAAUGCAACUAGUUGAAUUGAUCCAUGUCAAAGUAGCCUACACUUUGCAUACUGAUUUUAUAUCCUGUUGCUGUGUCUUUCUCAUUUCUCUUCUUCAAUUUGGAAAUAUAAAUGUUGUCCAAGACAAGUACAUGCCUCGAAAGAAGGAAUAGAUUGGCUACAUUUAUUUGUUGUCAUUGUUGAACAAAAUAGUCUAUUUAAAUCAUAAAUUGGUAAGAGGUUGUAAACAGUGAGAUCCGAUCUCAUAAUAUAAAUAUAUUUGGACCCGGCAUCAUUUGCAUAUAUCGAUGUUGGUCUAAAGUCAGACUUAGCUCUUGUGAACACCUUGGCUAUAUAGUAUAUCCUAUAUUCACGUGAUUGUAAUUUGUGUCAUCUGUGUCAUUAAUAUAUAUCUACACCUUGACUGUAAGUCCGUUUUAUUUUGUCUUAUCCUGUUCAAAAUUGGAGCUCAUCAUCUUCUCAGCAAAGAAAAAAUGUCAGAGCUCAUUCAACUGCCAUGUAUAUCUUCCUAGCUAGUUUCAGUAUGAUCCUGCAUGUUAUUAUUGGCGACUGAGAUUCACUGGACUGAACUCAUUGUUGCAUGAUGUUUGUCCUUGUAUCCUCAUCCAUGAAUCUGUAAACGCUACUGAGUGAUGAUGGACUUACAUGUUCCACAUAGUGUUCAUGACUUCUAUUGACACUAUUACCGGGUGAUCUUUAUUAUCAGCCAUUUUACAAAUUGGAGCUCAUCUUCAUUGGUUGUUUGUUUUCCAUAAUCAUUUGGUGUUUUGUGUAUGUUGCUGAUACUCUGAUCAAAUGGCAGUGAAACGAGUCGCUCUGAUGAUGAAUUCGAAAAUGGAACAGAAAGAAGUUGCUCCUGUACAAUUAUGUAGUGCGUCUUUCGACCAAAGCAUUGUGAGGACUUGACUUCUAAAAUGAAUUGCUAGAUCAGGUAAUCUACUGCUAAGAAGCAUUUUUGCUUGUUUUGACCGGGUUCAAGUAAUUCUCUGGGCGAAAGAAGCAAGAAUUGUGGCAUUCUACACAGAAUCCAACCAUGUUGAGAAGCUUUUUAUUUGGACAAGAGUCUCUGCUGGGUGACUGGUGAUUUCUAUCCACGUUACAUUGUUGGAGAUUUCAAUUUUGGUCACUCUGGGUUUUGUCAUAUUACAAUUCUUUGUUAUGGUGCUUGACUACAUUGUCCAUUGUUUCCUGGUAAUUAUUGUGUUAUAUUUCUUUUUUCUUCCCUUGGUGGUCCAUAAUUCUUGCACUUAUCCUUCUCAGCUUGAUUUUUUGUUAAAAGUUUAUUACACGAGGUUUGUAUUUUCGGUUCCCCCAUAGAUUGCAGUGUUAAUACAGGCAACGUAGUAUGCUUUUACAAGUAGUUCUGACUUCUGAUUUGUUUUUGUUAAAGUUUGAUUUCAUUAUGUUAUUGAGCUGAGAUGAAGAUCUGUGUUGGAUUUAUAAUUAUUAAUAUUAUAACUUCAAUGUGAAAUAUAAUAAUUUUUGAGACCCAAAAUAUUACUAUUGAGUCCUAAGGAUUAGAAAAUAGAUUUUCAAUUUCUGAAGUAGACAAUUAUAGAUGCAGUAGACUUGUAAUUAUACUGAAAUACAUUCCGAAUAUCCUCAUUAUUAUUAUUAUUAUUUUUUUACUUAUUAUUAGCUCUUUGCCAAUUAAUUGGUUCCAAAAUGACAAAAUGUCAAUAAUGCAAAAGCUAUUUAUUUCAAAACUCUUAUGUGGAUUGACACAGGCAAGAUAUUUACAUGAUGGAACGAUGUAAUGACAUUUUCUAGAGGAAUAUAAGCAUUUAAAGGCUGUUAAUGAAAACUUAGCACACACACGUACAUAUAUACAUGCCUAUAUGUGUAUGUACGUGCAUGCGAACGAUAUGAGUGGAGUUACAGAAGCUGAGAAGACGGAUGUUUGUGUGUAUUUGACAUUCAACCUUCUAUGUAUUUGUCAAUGGUAGCAGACAAGGUAGAUUUUGGUACAGCACCAAUGACACUCUCUUUCUUUUCUCCAUUCUUGAAGAAGAGAACAGUUGGUAUGCUCCUGAUUCCAUAUUUAGCAGCAAUAUUUGGGCUCUCGUCUGUGUUGACUUUGUAACAAGAAAUCUUCCCAGCGUACUCUUUGGCUAAUUCAUCAAUUGCAGGUGCAAUUAUCCUGCACGGUCCACACCAUGGUGCCCAAAACUCCACUAGAACUGGCCUUUUAUUUGCAAUCACAUUACCCUCCCAACCUGAAUCUGUCAAACUUUCAACUGCCAAUUUCACCAUACCCAAAAUCAGUUUUCUAAUUAUCAUCUUAAAGCAAGAGGGUGUUUUUCUAGCUUACCUUGAUCUACUGCUUCGCGGGCUUUGCAGACAAUCCGGGUUUUCGGGGUUCUGCUCUCGAAUGAAUAACCAAAAGAUAAAGAUGAAGACGAAGACGAAGACGAAGACGAGGGGAAGGUUAGACUAGAUUUCUUGAAGCUUUUACAUGUGGGAAAAUGAAACUUUUGAAGGGAAUAAAACGGAUGGUAAGCUCUGGGGGUGCUGCUGCACAUUGUGCUUAUUUGAAAGCAGUUCUCCAAAGCCAUUUUUCUCUCUGUUUAAAUUUUUUGAGGAGGAAAAUUUCUGUUUACGACUUGAAAGAGUUUUAAGAUGGUGGGUGAGGCAGAGAGAAAAUAGUUUUGUUAUGCAAUGGUCUGUCUUGAUUUUUAGUUCACUAGUGGAUAUAUCCUUGGAAAAUUAAACGUGAGGUCCUUAGAAUGCACAAAUUCUUGUGGAUAUAACAAUUUAUUCAGUUACCCUUUUAAUUGGAGAAAAAAGAAAACUGGAAAUGUCCAUGUCCCGGGAAUGAUUAAUAAUUUCUUUUUAAAGCGUUGGUGACCUGAAAUUCCUUCACCAUAAACUUCUCAUUCACUAACAGGGUUUGGAUAUACACUUGUUUGUCCCCAGUGUCUAAAUGCAGAGGACCUACAAUUGUUUAAACACACACACACAAACACAUGCAUACAUUACAAGUUAUUAAUACAAAAUUUUACAAGUCAUUACUUUAUUUUUAAUUCUUAAUGUUAAUAAGUUCAUGUCAUCUACAUAAAAACAGUCCAAGAUAAUUAGUAUACAGGCACAAAACUAGAUGGCCAGGUACUAAGCUGCCCAAAAAAUUACAAUGUUUAAAUAAUAACCAACUCAAACAACAUGGAACCACAAAAAAUAAGAAGGUUCUUAUAAUAUGGCAUAAAACUGGUAUACAGGCAACAGUGGGUUAAAGGAGCUUAUGGGCAACAUCCAUUGAUGCUGUGCAAGAGCUCUCAUAGGCAUGAGAGAGAGAUAGAUAGAGAGAGAGAGAGAGAGAGAGAGAGAGAGAAAGAGAGAGAGAGGGAGAACUAAAAAUACACAUGAACUAAAGGCUCCAUAUAUGCAAACCAGCCCUUUAAUUUCACUCUUCAACUCUAAAAGCAGAAAGAAAAGCUGCCUAAUUGAAUCUUUAAAUGAGGGAUGUAAAACAAGAGAACAAAAUGAAGCAACUCAAAGAUGAUUUAACAUUUCAUUGAUAGAAAACUAUGCUAUAUGUUUUACUUUCCUGAAAUUAGUACAAAGUUGGGCCCUGAAGCUAUUUUAUGGCGUGGGUACCACGAUCUAUGCACAGUGACAGGGCUAGAGGCAUUUCUAUUCUGCCCAUUCUCAUGCCGAACAACUAGCAACAUCUUCNNNNNN